rnacentral:rRNA from 1 species
CCUACGGGAGGCAGCAGUGGGGAAUAUUGCACAAUGGGCGAAAGCCUGAUGCAGCGACGCCGCGUGAGGGAUGACGGCCUUCGGGUUGUAAACCUCUUUCAGUAGGGAAGAAGCGAAAGUGACGAUACCUGCAGAAGAAGCGCCGGCUAACUACGUGCCAGCAGCCGCGGUAAU